rnacentral:pre_miRNA from 1 species
UCUUAUGGAUGAGCAUAGAAAAUGGUUUCUUGAUGUGAAAGCUACUCCUGGUGAAGAUGCUGUGAA